GGGAACAUACCCUUUUCUACGGAAUAGCUCUGAGAAACUGGAAUUAAUACCGUAUACGCCCUACGGGGGAAAGAUUUAUCGGGGAAGGAUUGGCCCGCGUUGGAUUAGCUAGUUGGUGGGGUAAAGGCCUACCAAGGCGACGAUCCAUAGCUGGUCUGAGAGGAUGAUCAGCCACAUUGGGACUGAGACACGGCCCAAACUCCUACGGGAGGCAGCAGUGGGGAAUAUUGGACAAUGGGCGCAAGCCUGAUCCAGCCAUGCCGCGUGAGUGAUGAAGGCCUUAGGGUUGUAAAGCUCUUUCACCGAUGAAGAUAAUGACGGUAGUCGGAGAAGAAGCCCCGGCUAACUUCGUGCCAGCAGCCGCGGUAAUACGAAGGGGGCUAGCGUUGUUCGGAAUUACUGGGCGUAAAGCGCACGUAGGCGGAUAUUUAAGUCAGGGGUGAAAUCCCAGAGCUCAACUCUGGAACUGCCUUUGAUACUGGGUAUCUUGAGUAUGGAAGAGGUAAGUGGAAUUGCGAGU
rnacentral:rRNA from 1 species